rnacentral:rRNA from 1 species
CCCUUAGAGUUUGAUCCUGGCUCAGGACGAACGCUGGCGGCGUGCUUAAUACAUGCAAGUCGAGCGAGAAGCCACCGCUCCGUAAGGAGUGGUGGUGGAAAGCGGCGAACGGGUGAGUAACACGUGGGUAAUGUGCCCUGAACUCUGGGAUAACAGCGGGAAACCGCUGCUAAUACCGGAUAACUCUGCAACGUCGCAUGACGAAGCAGACAAAGCUCCGGCGGUUCUGGAUCAGCCCGCGGUGUAUCAGCUUGUUGGUGGGGUAACGGCCUACCAAGGCUUUGACGCAUAGCUGGCGUGAGAGCGCGACCAGCCACACUGGGACUGAGACACGGCCCAGACUCCUACGGGAGGCAGCAGUAGGGAAUCUUGCGCAAUGGGCGAAAGCCUGACGCAGCGACGCCGCGUGAGGGAUGACGGCCUUCGGGUUGUAAACCUCUUUCAGCAGGGACGAAGCCUCACGGUGACGGUACCUGCAGAAGAAGCCCCGGCCAACUACGUGCCAGCAGCCGCGGUAAUACGUAGGGGGCAAGCGUUGUCCGGAUUUAUUGGGCGUAAAGAGCUC